CCUUGUUCAUCCUGAUAGUAGUCAUAUGCUUGUCUUAAAUAUUAAGUCAUGCAUGUAUAAAAAUGAACUAAUUCAAACUAUGAAACUUUGAAUGACUCAUUAAAUCAAUUAUAGUUUGUUUGAUAGUAUUUGCUACUCGAAUAACCAUAGUAAUUUUAAAGCUAAUACGUGAAACUUCAAACCUUGAUUUCUUGAAGGGAUGAUGGGCUAAGCCCAUUGCUCUGAUGAUUCAUGAUAACUCGACAAAUUGCACGACCAUCGUGUCGACAACGCAUUAUUCAAAUUUCUGCCCUAUCAACUUUUGAUGAUAGGAUAGUGGCCUACAUUGGUGGUGACGGGUGACGGAGAAUUAGGGUUCGACUUCGAAGAAGGAGCUUGAGAAACGACAACUAAAUCAAAGAAACGCAACAGACGCGCAAAUUACCCAAUCCUGACACGGGGAGGUAGUGACAAUAAAUAACAAUACCGGGCUCUUUGAAUCUAGUAAUUGGAAUGAGUACAACCUUAAUGCCUUAACGAUGAUUAAUUGGAGGACAAGUUUGGUGCCAGCCGCUGCAGUAGUUCCAGUUCCAAUAAUCUAUAUUUAAGUUGUUGCAGUUAAAAAGCUCGUAGUUUGACCGUGGAUUGGGUCGGUCGGUUUGUCUAUGGUGAGCAUUGGUUGGCUCGUCCCUUCUGUCGGCGAUGCGCUCCUAGCCUUAACUGACUGGGUCGAGCCUCCGACGUUGUUGCUUUGAAGAAAUUAGAGUGCUCAAAACAAAUCUACGCUUUGUAUACAAUAGUUUGAGAUAACAUCAUAGGAUUUUGAUCUUAUUCUAUUGGCCUUCGGGAUUGAAAUAAUGAUUAAUAGGGACGGUCAGGGGCAUUCAUAUUUUAUAGUCAGAGGUUAAAUUCUUUUAUUUAUGAAAGACGAACAACUGUAAAGCAUUUGCCAAGCAUAUUUUCAUUAAUAAAAAACAAAAGCUUGAGGCUUGAAGACGAUCAGAUACCGUCGUAGUCUCAAUCAUAAACGAUGCCGACCAGAAAUUGGAGGAUUUUUCUAUAAGGACUCACCAGAACCUUAUGAGAAAUCAAAGUUUUUGGGUUAUGGGGGAGUAUGGUCGCAAGGUUGAAACUUAAAGGAAUUGAUAGAAUGACGCCACAAGGACUGGAGCCUACUGCUUAAUUUGACUCAACAUGGGGAAACUUACCAGGUGCAGGCAUAAUAAGGAUUGACAGGCUGAGAACACUUUCUUGGUUCUAUGGGUGGUGGUGCAUGGUCGUUCUUAGUUGGUGGAGCGAUUUGUCUAGUUAAUUUCGUUAAUAAACGAGACCUCAACUUGCUAACUAGCUAUGCGGAGGAAUCCCUCUACGACCAGCUUCAGGACUAUGGCCGCUUAGGCCAAGGAAGUUUGAGACAAUAAUAGGUCUACCCUUAGAUAUUCUAGACUGCACGCGUGCUACACUGAUGUAUUCAACGAGUCUAUAGCCUUGGCCAAUAGGUCCAUGUAAUCUUUGAAAUUUCAUCGUGAUGGGGAUAGAUCAUUGCAAUUAUUGGUCGUCAACGAGAAAAUCCUAGUAAGCGUGAGUCAUCAGCUCACGUUGACUCUGUCCUUGCCCUUUGUACACACCGCUUGUCGCUCCUACUACUUGAAUGUUUUGGUGAAGUAUUUGGAUCGUUGUGACGUGGGAGGUUCGCUGCCCACGACAUCGUAAGAAGUCCACUGAACCUUGUCAUUUAGAGGAAGGAGAAGUAGUAACAAUAUUUCUACAGGUGAACCUGCAGAAG
rnacentral:rRNA from 1 species